GAUGAACGCUGGCGGCGUGCCUAAUACAUGCAAGUCGAGCGAACAGAUGAGGAGCUUGCUCCUCUGACGUUAGCGGCGGACGGGUGAGUAACACGUGGAUAACCUACCUAUAAGACUGGGAUAACUUCGGGAAACCGGAGCUAAUACCGGAUAAUAUAUUGAACCGCAUGGUUCAAUAGUGAAAGACGGUUUUGCUGUCACUUAUAGAUGGAUCCGCGCCGCAUUAGCUAGUUGGUAAGGUAACGGCUUACCAAGGCAACGAUGCGUAGCCGACCUGAGAGGGUGAUCGGCCACACUGGAGCUGAGACACGGUCCAGACUCCUACGGGAGGCAGCAGUAGGGAAUCUUCCGCAAUGGGCGAAAGCCUGACGGAGCAACGCCGCGUGAGUGAUGAAGAUCUUCGGAUCGUAAAACUCUGUUAUUAGGGAAGAACAAAUGUGUAAGUAACUAUGCACGUCUUGACGGUACCUAAUCAGAAAGCCACGGCUAACUACGUG
rnacentral:rRNA from 1 species